rnacentral:lncRNA from 1 species
AUGGGAGGGUUACAAAGAGCUGCUAAUGGGGCUGCCUGGAUAGGAGUGACUCACAAACCCAAUAGAAGAUGUCUCCUUGCACACUCGCCUUGCACACUUAUGUGCACCAACAGCCCCCAUAGACCACGCUCUAUUGUUUGCUAUUGGGUUUGGGAUGAUGAUGGUGGGGUACAAAGGAGCAGCUAAUGGGAUUGCAUGGCUCACAGCCCAUAGAUCCCAUGGAAUCUCCCCUUGCACACUCACCUUGCACACUUACACACACACACUCCAUCCCCUUCCUUCUCCCCCCCCACCCACACGUGUCCCCAGCCCCCCCAGCCCCAUAUUAAACCUU